CCUACGGGUGGCAGCAGUGAGGAAUAUUGGUCAAUGGGCGAGAGCCUGAACCAGCGAAGCCGCGUGAAGGAUGAAGGAUCUAGGGUUUGUAAACUCCUUUUAUAUGGGAAUAAAGUGAGGAACGUGUUCCUUUUUGUAUGUACCAUAUGAAUAAGCAUCGGCUAACUCCGUGCCAGCAGCAGCGGUAAUACGGAGGAUGCGAGCGUUAUCCGGAUUUAUUGGGUUUAAAGGGUGCGUAGGUGGUUAAUUAAGUCAGCGGUGAAAGUUUGUGGCUCAACCAUAGAAUUGCCGUUGAAACUGGUUGACUUGAGUACAGUUGAGGUAAGCGGAAUGCGUGGUGUAGCGGUGAAAUGCAUAGAUAUCACGCGGAACACC
rnacentral:rRNA from 1 species